CCGAUCUUAGCUUAGUUGAUAGAGCGAAGGAUUGUAGUGGUUAGUAGUCGUCUGAAAUCCUUAGGUUGCUAGUUUGAAUCCGGAAGGUCGGA
rnacentral:tRNA from 1 species